AUUGAUGUUGAGGAAAAGACUUCCGGUAGGGGCAUUUCUAUUUCCAUUGGGUCCUGUCUUCUCCACCUUUACGUUUCAACCGGAAAUAGUCGUACCCAUUUAAAGCCACGUCGGUACUGGCCUCAGUCCCGCCCCCCACACUGCGGAACCGUUUCCGAGGUCAGGGCAUUCCGUCCCGCCCCGCCGCCGGUGCAGUGUUGGAAGCUCCGGUUCUCCCGGAAGUGGCCCAGGUCUCUCUGUCGGGGUCCCCUCCAUCUCGCUGCUGCUGAAGGCCGCGAGGGCGGCGGCGAUGGCGGAGGCGGCGGCGGAGCGGGACGCUAGGGAAAAGCUGGCUCUCUGGGAUCGGAGACCGGACACGACGGCGCCGCUGACCGACAGGCAGACGGACUCGGUAUUGGAGCUGAAGGCGGCGGCAGAGAACCUGCCGGUGCCAGCUGAGCUUCCAAUUGAAGACUUGUGCAGUUUAACAUCCCAGUCACUGCCCAUUGAACUGACUUCAGUAGUGCCUGAAUCUACAGAAGACAUUCUCUUGAAGGGCUUCACUUCCUUAGGAAUGGAAGAAGAAAGAAUUGAAACCGCACAGCAGUUUUUCUCAUGGUUUGCAAAGCUGCAAACUCAGAUGGAUCAAGAUGAAGGAACUAAAUAUAGACAGAUGAGGGAUUACUUGUCUGGGUUUCAGGAGCAGUGUGAUGCUAUAUUGAAUGAUGUAAACAGUGCUCUUCAGCAUCUGGAGUCUUUGCAGAAACAGUAUCUUUUUGUGUCCAAUAAGACAGGAACCCUACAUGAAGCCUGUGAACAGCUCCUAAAAGAACAGUCGGAACUUGUUGAUCUGGCUGAAAACAUUCAACAAAAGCUUUCCUAUUUUAACGAAUUGGAAACUAUUAACACAAAAUUGAAUUCCCCUACAUUGUCGGUGAAUAGUGACGGAUUUAUACCUAUGCUAGCCAAGUUAGAUGAUUGUAUAACAUAUAUCUCAUCUCAUCCUAAUUUUAAAGAUUAUCCCAUAUAUUUGCUGAAGUUUAAACAGUGUCUUUCUAAAGCUUUGCACCUCAUGAAGACAUAUACUGUGAACACACUACAGACCCUCACAAGUCAGUUACUGAAAAGGGAUCCUUCAUCUGUACCUAAUGCAGACAAUGCCUUCACAUUAUUUUAUGUGAAAUUUCGAGCUGCUGCCCCCAAAGUCAGAACUCUUAUUGAACAAAUAGAACUGCGGUCUGAAAAAAUACCUGAAUACCAACAACUGCUAAAUGAUAUCCACCAGUGUUACCUUGAUCAGCGGGAGCUCCUUUUGGGCCCUAGUAUUGCUUGCACUGUUGCAGAGUUAACCAGCCAAAAUAAUAGAGAUCACUGUGCCUUGGUUCGUAGUGGCUGUGCCUUCAUGGUUCAUGUCUGCCAAGAUGAACACCAACUUUACAAUGAAUUUUUCACAAAACCAACAUCAAAAUUAGAUGAGCUUUUGGAGAAACUGUGUGUGUCAUUGUAUGAUGUCUUCAGGCCAUUGAUCAUUCAUGUUAUUCACUUAGAGACUCUGUCGGAACUUUGUGGGAUUCUUAAAAAUGAGGUGCUUGAAGAUCAUGUGCAGAACAAUGCUGAGCAACUGGGGGCAUUUGCAGCUGGAGUCAAGCAGAUGUUAGAAGAUGUACAGGAGCGGCUCGUCUACCGAACCCACAUCUAUAUUCAGACGGACAUCACGGGCUAUAAACCAGCUCCUGGAGAUCUGGCAUAUCCCGAUAAGUUAGUCAUGAUGGAGCAAAUUGCACAGAGUUUGAAAGAUGAACAGAAGAAGGUACCUUCAGAAGCUUCAUUUUCAGAUGUUCACUUAGAAGAAGGAGAGUCUAACAGUCUGACAAAAUCUGGUUCAACAGAAUCCCUCAAUCCUAGACCACAGACCACAAUUUCUCCAGCAGAUCUUCAUGGAAUGUGGUAUCCUACGGUUCGAAGAACUCUUGUCUGUCUCUCCAAAUUAUACAGAUGCAUAGAUAGGGCAGUGUUCCAGGGAUUAUCACAGGAAGCAUUGUCUGCCUGCAUUCAGUCCUUACUUGGAGCGUCAGAGUCUAUCAGCAAAAACAAGACUCAGAUUGAUGGACAACUUUUCUUAAUUAAGCACCUUUUGAUACUUCGUGAACAGAUUGCUCCAUUUCACACUGAAUUCACCAUUAAGGAAAUUUCCCUGGACCUCAAGAAAACUAGAGAUGCAGCAUUUAAAAUCCUGAACCCUAUGACAGUUCCAAGAUUUUUUAGGCUGAAUAGCAACAAUGCCUUGAUAGAGUUCUUGUUGGAGGGCACUCCUGAGAUAAGAGAACAUUAUCUUGACUCUAAAAAAGACGUAGACCGUCAUCUGAAAUCGGCCUGUGAGCAGUUUAUUCAGCAGCAGACCAAGCUGUUUGUAGAACAGCUGGAGGAGUUCAUGACAAAGGUUUCAGCGUUAAAAACAAUGGCCAGUCAGGGAGGCCCCAAGUAUACUCUCUCACAGCAGCCUUGGGCACAACCAGCAAAGGUCAAUGACCUUGCGGCAACUGCGUAUAAGACGAUAAAAACAAAGCUGCCGGUGACAUUGAGAAGUAUGUCCUUGUACCUAUCCAAUAAAGACACCGAGUUCAUCUUGUUUAAACCUGUGAGGAAUAAUAUUCAGCAAGUCUUCCAGAAGUUCCAUGCUCUGUUAAAGGAAGAGUUCAGCCCUGAAGACAUCCAGAUCAUUGCCUGUCCAUCUAUGGAACAGGUUACUGGGGUACAGGUGGUAUUUGGCUACACGAGUAAGUUCUUCAGUGGUGAUUUGCAAGAUUGUGGUGCACCCAUCACCCGAGCAGUAUACACUGCACCCUAUUUGUAGUUUUUUAAUAACUUCAAGAUUGAAAAAAUGGAAGUUACUGAGUACCCAGUAUGUAUUAGGAGUAGCCUGGCGCUGUGGAGGAUAUUUUAUAUCUGGUCUUAAGUUUAGGAUAGUUUAGAAAUUUAGUAUAUGGUAAGGACUAGGAAAUUUGGGGAGACUGAUCAGGCUGGCAAGAGCCUGACUGGGCUGGGUAGAAACUGGGUGGAUAGGACUAGGCAAUGGUGAGUGUAGAUAAAUCUUGUGGGGUUUUUUUUGUUUUGUUUUGUUUUGAAAUGGAGUCUUACUUUGUUGCCCAGGCUGGAGUUCAGUGGUGUGAUCUCGGCUCACUGCAACCUCUGCCUCCCAGGUUCAUGCAAUUCUUGUGCCUCGGCCUCCUAAAUAGCUAGGACUACAGGUGCCUGCCACCAUGCCGAGCUAAUUUUUGUAUUUGGUAGACAGAGGGUUUCACCAUGUUGGCCAGGCUGGUCUUGAACUCCUGGCCUCAAGUGAUCUGCCUGCCUCAGCUUCCUAAAGUGCUGGGAUUACAGUCAUGAGGCGCCAUACCCAGCCAGAAUCUUUUGAGGAGUGUUACUGUAGUGGAGAGGAGAAGGAUGGGGUGGUAGCCGGAGGGAGAAAUGGGGUCAUUUUAAAAUUGAGAUGUUCAUAUACUAUAGAAUUCAUCUUUUUAAAGUGCAGAGUUCAAUGGUUUUUAGUAUAUUCAGAAAGUUGUGCAGUCCUCACCACUAUCUAAUUAGAACAUUUUCAUUACUCCCCAGAAAAACCCCUUAGCCAUUAGCAGAUCCUGCAUUUCCCCAUCUUCUUCUUUUUGUCUCUGUGGAUUUGCCUAUUCUGGAUAUUUCAUUAAAUGGAAUCAUACAAUACGUGGCCUCAUAUCGCUGCUUGUUUCAUUCACCUAGCAUGUUUUCAAGGCUCAUCCGUGUUGUAUGUAUCAGAGCUUCCUUUUUUAUGGCUGUAUAUAUUCCUUUAUGUGGAUAGAUGGGUCACAUUUUAAAAAGAUAUUUGUAUCAUUCUAGGAUAUUUGUACAGUCAAAAUACUUCCAAAUAAUUUAUUUGAAGUAAUUACUUUCUAUAUGAUUGUACCACUAACUCGAUAUAUAAUUGGGUUUCUUUUCAAUAUUUAGAGAUUUUUUUUCUAUUUUGAUUUAAUUUUGUUUCUUAAUGAUAUAAAAUACUUGCAUGGUUUCCAAGUCAGAAUUACAGAACAAGGUACAUUUGGAGAAGUCUUGUUCCUUUUCCGAUCCCCUCCAGCCUUUCCCUUCCCUCCCCUAUAGAUAACUCUUUUUAUUAGUUAUUGGGUUAUCCUUCCAUUGUUUUUGUUUUUUUUUUUUUUUUUGAGAUGGAGUCUCGCUCUGUCGCCCAGGCUGGAGUGCAGUGGCAUGAUCUCGGCUCACUGCAAGCUCCGCCUCCCGGGUUCAUGCCAUUCUCCUGCCUCAGCCUCCCAAGUAGCUGGGACUACAGGCCCCGCCAAUUUUUUAUUUUUAGUAAAGACGGGGUUUCACCGUGUUAGCCAGGAUGGUCUCGAUCUGCUGACCUCGUGAUCCACCCGCCUCAGCCUCCCAAAGUGCUGGGAUUACAGGCGUGAGCCACCGUGCCUGGCCACAUUUUUCCGUAGGGUAACUUGUUUUUUUUUAAAGAUAGGAGAAAAACGCGUGUUUUUGUGUUCAUGGGGGAAGAUCUACAAGGAGGGGAAAAUAUCUUGACAAUGUGGGUGGAAUUUCAGGAACAGGCAGGGUGGGGCCUUUGUGAGACACACGGGGGUUCAGUCAUGGUAACAGGAGGAGGCCGAGUGUAUGGGCAUGGAUGGGGGCUGUGAAUGUGGCAGGAGCUCAUGGAUGUGCUCUUCUGAGUGCUUCACGUUUCUGAGUGAAAUAAGAAGCAAGGUCAUCACCGAGAGGGAGGAGAGAGGCUCGGAUGAGUUUAGUGGAUAUGAAUCCAAGAGAGACCAUUCAACUUAGUUGUCUAUUUUUUUUUUUCUCCAGUUACAGUCACUUGCAUGAAUGUAGAUGUGGAGUACUUGAUCAUAAGAUCCAUUUUAUGGCAGAAGACAUUAUUUUUCUGAGCCUUCUGCUGUCAGUUUCUAAAUAAGCAGGCCAGCCCGGCUGUGCACCUAAAUGUCUGUCUGGGAGGAGCAGGCUGAGAAGUCUUGCAGUCUGCAGGACACCGAGGAAUCGUAUGUGGGAACAUCCCCGAGAACCACACGAGCGUGCUGCUCAGUGCUGACUGCAGAAUGAAAUAGAAGCAAAGUGUUACAGGAUCAGUGUUUUCUUUUCUAAAACAUCAAAAUGCCAAAGAUUAAUCUGUGAUUGGUGAUAACUGCCUCAUUUAAAUGGUCACAAGAAAUGUGAAGAGAGAGCUAGGGCAGACAUGCAGUGAAAUGGUUCUUUGUUAAAAAUGUGCAAUAAAAAUAGAUUACAAUAAGUAGUGCAAAGAACUUUACAGAAAUCCAGCGAAUUAGAAGGCCUGUAAGAGUAAGGUUUGCUAAAACGUGAAACACUAUAACACUUUUAACCACUGAGCAUUCCAUAGUGAAAUGUUAUUUCUAUGCUCUUCUUUAAUGUAAUGUUUCUCCUGUCAUUUUGAAGUUGAGUUUGGAGUAGAUUGGUUGCUUCUGAGAACACAUUCUGCCUUCCUGGGAAGUCGGGGUGUCAUCCUUUCCUCUGUUUGAUGUGAGGUAGUUUAAAGAAACAAGGACUUUGUGUGAAGCUCCAGCAUCUGUGCCCCUUGAAUUGCUUAGGUGCAGACAGUUCUAAAGCAAGGAGCUGCAGCAUUCUCAUCAUAGAUACGUGCAGUAUCUUUAAUGAGUAUCUUCAUGGUAUGAUAGUGUGUGUUUGUGAGUGCGAAGUACCAAUUAAGGUGUCUUAAAUUUGGCGCAUAGAGGAGAGAAGGAAACCUGAGGAGUAGUGUUCCUCCUGAAUGAAGGUUCAGGUCACCAGCCUUCUGUACACUGCCUUUGGUUUUAGCAGUUCUUUGAAAAGCAAACACUUUCAUGUCCUGUCUAUUCAUUCAGCUGGCUGUGCUGUGCUGUGGACCAGCUGUGUGGAUCUCUAGCCCGGCUACAGCAGAAUACAUUUUACCAGCAAACCUAAGGAUGACAAACACUAUCCACAUCUGAAAACUACCACACCAUAUCAGGGAUCAUAAAUUAUGCAUAUCUAUGAAUUUUCCAACAAAUUCCUACUUCCUGAUUGGAUUGGUUUUGCCGCUGAUGUUAAGGCAGCCAGCUUCUUAGUUCAAAAAGAAUUCUGAGUUUUUCAAACACUAGUCUAGAGGUGGACAUUGUCAGGGGUUCUGGAAUGGGACCAGGGGACCUUUUGGUGCAGUGGGUGCCUGUAACUCAUUAGACGUACUGAGGCAGCACUUCUGCAGGGUGCAUACCCUGAUUGUUGUCAUUUGUAACAGGUCACUUCCUUUUCACUCAGUUUAAAUUGGUGAUGGACGUUGCUUGAUUGAGCUUAUUACUCUCUAUUUUGAGAAGGUAGAAGGUAAGAGGGCCCAUAUUCAUUCUUUGCCAUGAAAUGAAUGAAUUAGGAAGAUUGUAUUUACUUAACUGUUUUUUAAAUACAUGUUUAAUGAAAUAAACUGUAAAAUAUCCAGUUUUGUGUAUUAUAUGUACAUUUGAUUUUUAAUAGCCUUUCCAAAGAAAUGAGGGCAUGAUUAUUGUACAGUAAGUACGUGACUGAUUUAAUUUGAUGUACAGAGCGGAGUGUGUUCUUAUAAAAAUAUUUAAUGACAUUGGUUCUUGUGUUUUGAUCUUUUAUUUCUGAAACACUCAAACACCUUACAAAGUGCUGAGUAGGUAAUAGUGACCCAACUUGUUUGCUAAAUGAUUAUUUGUUUAAAUCUGUAUAGUUUCAAGUGUUCACUUAUACAAAGAGUGUAUAUACUUUCAAAUAAUUUAAAAUGCUUUAUAUUAUUUGGCUAGAAAUUGCUGUUUUUAAUAAAUGUGAAUUUUUUAAAAAUAAAGAUUUUUGCUUCCUA